rnacentral:tRNA from 110 species
GCGCCCGUAGCUCAGCUGGAUAGAGUACCUGACUACGAAUCAGGUGGUCGGAGGUUCGAAUCCUCCCGGGCGCGCCA